UACGGGGGGAGCUAGCGUUGUUCGGAAUUACUGGGCGUAAAGAGUACGUAGGCGGUGAUUGAAGGCAGGGGGGGAAGCCUGGAGGUCAACUCCAGAACUGCCUUUGAAACUAGAUCGCUAGAAUUAUGGAGAGGUUAGUGGAAUUCCGAGUGUAGAGGUGAAAUUCGUAGAUAUUCGGAAGAACACCAGUGGCGAAGGCGACUAACUGGACAUAUAUUGACGCUGAGGUACGAAAGCGUGGGGAGCAAACAGG
rnacentral:rRNA from 1 species